rnacentral:lncRNA from 1 species
GGGGCAAUAUGUGGGUCAGGAUACCCAUAGGGCCCUAUGGGGUCAAUUAUGGGGCUAUUAGGACCUACUAUGGGGCUCUAUGGGGUCAAAUGGGGGCUAUAGGACUCUAUGGGGUCUAUGGGGUCAAUGGGGGCUAUGGGCGUAGGCGCCUUUACGCAAUAGGUCCUCGAUCUCCUUCUUGGAGAACUGAUGGAUCUAUGGGGCAAUAUGUGGGGCAGGAUGACCCUAUAGGGCCCUAUGGGGUCAAUAUGGGGGCUAUAGGACUCUAUGGGGCUCUAUGGGGUCAAUGGGGGCUAUGGGCGUAGGCGCCUUUAACGCAUAGGGUCCUCGAUCUCCCUUCUUGGAAACUGAAUGGAUCUAUGGGG